UACAGAGGUCUCGAGCGUUGUUCGGAUUCAUUGGGCGUAAAGGGUGCGUAGGUGGCGUGGUAAGUCUGGUGUGAAAGCCCUGGGCUCAACCUAGGAAGUGCAUUCGAAACUGCGGAGCUCGAGUCCUGGAGAGGAAGGCGGAAUUCUCGGUGUAGAGGUGAAAUUCGUAGAUAUCGAGAGGAACACCGGUGGCGAAGGCGGCCUUCUGGACGAGUGACUGACGCUGAGACGACGAA
rnacentral:rRNA from 1 species